UACAGAGGUCUCGAGCGUUUGUUCGGAUUCAUUGGGCGUAAAGGGUGCGUAGGUGGCGUGGUAAGUCUGGUGUGAAAUCCCGGGGCUCAACCCCGGAACUGCACUGGAUACUGCCAUGCUUGAGUACUGGAGAGGAGAUUGGAAUUUACGGUGUAGCAGUGAAAUGCGUAGAUAUCGUAAGGAAGACCAGUGGCGAAGGCGAAAUCUCU
rnacentral:rRNA from 1 species